UACGGAGGGUGCAAGCGUUGUCCGGAUUUAUUGGGUUUAAAGGGUGCGUAGACGGGUAUAUAAGUCAGAGUUAAAAAUCAUUGGCUUAACCAAUGUAAGGCUUUGAUACUGUAUAUCUUGAGUAUAGUGGAGGUGAGUAGAAUUUGUGGAGUAGCGGUGAAAUGCAUAGAUACCACAAGGAAUACCAAUUGCGAAGGCAUCUCACUACACUAAAACUGACGUUGAUGCACGAAAGCGUGGGGAGCGAACA
rnacentral:rRNA from 1 species